UUCGAGUCGUAAACUCCUGUCGAAUAGGGACGAAUGGAUCGCGUGUCGAAUACCACGUGGUCGUGACGGUACCGUUAAGAAACCCCGGCUAACUCCGUGCCAGCAGCCGCGGUAAUACGGGGGGGGUAAGCGUUGUUCGGAAUUACUGGGCGUAAAGGGCUCGUAGGCGGCCAACUAAGUCAGACGUGAAAUCCCUCAGCUUAACUGGGGAACUGCGUCUGAUACUGGAUGGCUUGGAUCCGGGAGAGGGAUGCGGAAUUCCAGGUGUAGCGGUGAAAUGCGUAGAUAUCUGGAGGAACACCGGUGGCGAAGGCGGCAUCCUGGACCGGUAUUGACGCUGAGGAGCGAAAGCCAGGGGAGCAAACGGGAUUAGAUACCCCGGUAGUCCUGGCCCUAAACGAUGAAUGCUUGGUGUAGCGGGUAUCGAUCCCUGCUGUGCCGAAGCUAACGCAUUAAGCAUUCCGCCUGGGGAGUACGGUCGCAAGGCUG
rnacentral:rRNA from 1 species